CUGGAGGUAUCAGAAGUGCGAAUGCUGACAUAAGUAACGAUAAAGCGGGUGAAAAGCCCGCUCGCCGGAAGACCAAGGGUUCCUGUCCAACGUUAAUCGGGGCAGGGUGAGUCGACCCCUAAGGCGAGGCCGAAAGGCGUAGUCGAUGGGAAACAGGUUAAUAUUCCUGUACUUGGUGUUACUGCGAAGGGGGGACGGAGAAGGCUAUGUUGGCCGGGCGACGGUUGUCCCGGUUUAAGCGUGUAGGCUG
rnacentral:rRNA from 1 species